rnacentral:rRNA from 1 species
GACGAACGCUGGCGGCGUGCUUAACACAUGCAAGUCGAGCGGAGCGGCGAACGGGUGAGUAACGCGUGAGUAACUGUCCCCCUCUCUGGGAUAACAGUUGGAAACGGCUGCUAAUACCGGAUAGUGGUGGAUGACUCGCGUCCAAUCAGCUUGUUGGUGGGGUAGUGGCCUACCAAGGGGAAGACGGGUAGCCGGCCUGAGAGGGGGAACGGCCACAUGGGGCUGAGAUACGGAGCAAACUCCUACGGGAGGCAGCAGUGGGGAAUAUUGCACAAUGGGGGAGACCGUGAUGAAGCAGCGCGGGUGCGGAAUGACGGCCUUGGGGUUGUAAACCGCUUUCAGCCAUGACGCGGUAGUGGCAGAAGAAGCACCGGCUAACUACGUGCCAGCAGCCGCGGUAAUAC